rnacentral:lncRNA from 1 species
CAACAUUCUAUUCAAUUCAGGUUUCCCAGUGUUUGAGUAUUUUAUGAUUUUUAAAUAAUUUUCUAACUAAUGAUGUCAUAUUUAAUUCCACAGUAGUGGGUUUUUUUUGACAUUGAUUUAUAUGGAUGUGAUUUGAGAUCCCUUUGAAUCAAUGACAUGGAAAUGCAAAGAAAUUGAUUGCAUGCUUUUGAAAAUCGUUUUCAGGGUUUUCC